rnacentral:lncRNA from 1 species
UGGCAUCCAAGGUGGAUCGAUCGGACGGGGAUGACGAUGAAAAGUCCCGUGAAUUUCUCCUCUUCUUCACGGACUUGAUCAAAACGGCGAGCAACAGAUUCGCUGGAAAUACGAAUAUGGAGGAUUUGCAGCAGCCAGCGGCGAAGAAGCUCAAAUCACAGGAGGAGGAUAACGUCGAUCUGAGUUUCCCAGCGAAAUCGAAUCCCAUCUCGAUGACAUCCAAGGUGGUAAAGAAGGUGAGCAACAGAAACGUCAAAUCGGAGCAGUUGGCAGCGG